AUGAACGCUGGCGGCGUGCCUAAUACAUGCAAGUCGAGCGAACAGACGAGGAGCUUGCUUCUCUGACGUUAGCGGCGGACGGGUGAGUAACACGUGGAUAACCUACCUAUAAGACUGGGAUAACUUCGGGAAACCGGAGCUAAUACCGGAUAAUAUAUUGAACCGCAUGGUUCAAUAGUGAAAGACGGUUUUGCUGUCACUUAUAGAUGGAUCCGCGCCGCAUUAGCUAGUUGGUAAGGUAACGGCUUACCAAGGCAACGAUGCGUAGCCGACCUGAGAGGGUGAUCGGCCACACUGGAACUGAGACACGGUCCAGACUCCUACGGGAGGCAGCAGUAGGGAAUCUUCCGCAAUGGGCGAAAGCCUGACGGAGCAACGCCGUGUGAGUGAUGAAGGUCUUCGGAUCGUAAAACUCUGUUAUUAGGGAAGAACAAAUGUGUAAGUAACUAUGCACGUCUUGACGGUACCUAAUCAGAAAGCCACGGCUAACUACGUG
rnacentral:rRNA from 1 species